rnacentral:misc_RNA from 1 species
AACACUGUUAACCUGCGGUACCUGCGGAAGGAUCAUUACAAGUGACCCCGGUUUACCACCGGGAUGUUCAUAACCCUUUGUUGUCCGACUCUGUUGCCUCCGGGGCGACCCUGCCUUCGGGCGGGGGCUCCGGGUGGACACUUCAAACUCUUGCGUAACUUUGCAGUCUGAGUAAACUUAAUUAAUAAAUUAAAACUUUUAACAAUGGAUCU